rnacentral:rRNA from 1 species
UGCAAGUCGACGCUUUGUGGUUCAACUGAUUUGAAGAGCUUGCUCAGAUAUGACGAUGGACAUUGCAAAGAGUGGCGAACGGGUGAGUAACACGUGGGAAACCUACCUCUUAGCAGGGGAUAACAUUUGGAAACAGAUGCUAAUACCGUAUAACAAUGACAACCGCAUGGUUGUUAUUUAAAAGAUGGUUCUGCUAUCACUAAGAGAUGGUCCCGCGGUGCAUUAGCUAGUUGGUAAGGUAAUGGCUUACCAAGGCGAUGAUGCAUAGCCGAGUUGAGAGACUGAUCGGCCACAAUGGGACUGAGACACGGCCCAUACUCCUACGGGAGGCAGCAGUAGGGAAUCUUCCACAAUGGGCGAAAGCCUGAUGGAGCAACGCCGCGUGUGUGAUGAAGGGUUUCGGCUCGUAAAACACUGUUGUAAGAGAAGAAUGACAUUGAGAGUAACUGUUCAAUGUGUGACGGUAUCUUACCAGAAAGGAACGGCUAAAUACGUGCCAGCAGCCGCGGUAAUACGUAUGUUCCAAGCGUUAUCCGGAUUUAUUGGGCGUAAAGCGAGCGCAGACGGUUAUUUAAGUCUGAAGUGAAAGCCCUCAGCUCAACUGAGGAAUUGCUUUGGAAACUGGAUGACUUGAGUGCAGUAGAGGAAAGUGGAACUCCAUGUGUAGCGGUGAAAUGCGUAGAUAUAUGGAAGAACACCAGU